rnacentral:rRNA from 1 species
CUACGGGGGGCUGCAGUCGAGAAUCUUCCGUAAUGCGCGAAAGCGUGACGGAGCAAUGCCGCGUGCAGGAUGACGGCCUUCGGGUUGUAAACUGCUGUCACUCGGGACGAAUUUUGACGGUACCGAGAGAGGAAGCCACGGCUAACUACGUGCCAGCAGCCGCGGUAAUACGUAGGUGGCGAGCGUUAUUCGGAUUUAUUGGGCGUAAAGGGUUCGUAGGCGGUUAAGUAAGUUUGAAGUGAAAUCUCAGGGCUCAACCCUGAAACUGCUUUGGAUACUGCUUGACUAGAGUAUUGGAGAGGUAAGCGGAAUUCCUGGUGUAGCGGUGGAAUGCGUAGAUAUCAGGAGGAACACCGACGGCGAAGGCAGCUUACUGGACAAUAACUGACGCUGAGGAACGAAAGCUAGGGUAGCAAACAGGAUUAGAUACCCUAGUAGUC